rnacentral:rRNA from 1 species
GACGAACGCUGGCGGCGUGCUUAACACAUGCAAGUCGAACGGAAAGGCCCUGCUGUUGUGGGGUGCUCGAGUGGCGAACGGGUGAGUAACAAGUGAGUAACCUGCCCUUGACUUUGGGAUAACGUCAGGAAACUGGGGCUAAUACCGGAUAGGAGCUCCUGCUGCAUGGUGGGUGUUGGAAAGUUUCGGCGGUUGGGGAUGGACUGGCGGCUUAUCAGCUUGUUGGUGGGGUAGUGGCUUACCAAGGCUUUGACGGGUAGCCGGCCUGAGAGGGUGACCGGCCACGUUGGGACUGGGAUACGGCCCAGACUCCUACGGGAGGCAGCAGUGGGGAAUAGUACACAAUGGGCGGAAGCCUGAUCCGGCAACGCCGCGUGCGGGAUGACGGCCUUCGGGUUGUAAACCGCUUUCGCCUGUGACGAAGCGUGAGUGACGGUAAUGGGUAAAGAAGCACCGGCUAACUACGUG